rnacentral:rRNA from 1 species
UACGGAGGGUGCGAGCGUUGUCCGGAAUCAUUGGGCGUAAAGGGCGCGUAGGUGGCCCGGUCAGUCCGUGGUGAAAGCGCGGGGCUCAACCCCGCGUCGGCCAUGGAUACUGCUGGGCUGGAGCACCGUAGAGGCAGGCGGAAUUCCGGGUGUAGCGGUGGAAUGCGUAGAGAUCCGGAAGAACACCGGUGGCGAAGGCGGCCUGCUGGGCAGUUGCUGACACUGAGGCGCGACAGCGUGGGGAGCAAACAGG